rnacentral:rRNA from 1 species
GAUGAACGCUGGCGGCGUGCCUAAUACAUGCAAGUCGAGCGAACGGACGAGAAGCUUGCUUCUCUGCUGUUAGCGGCGGACGGGUGAGUAACACGUGGAUAACCUACCUAUAAGACUGGGGUAACUUCGGGAAACCGGAGCUAAUACCGGAUAAUAUUUUGAACCGCAUGGUUCAAAAGUGAAAGACGUUCUUGCUGUCACUUAUAGAUGGAUCCGCGCUGCAUUAGCUAGUUGGUAAGGUAACGGCUUACCAAGGCAACGAUGCAUAGCCGACCUGAGAGGGUGAUCGGCCACACUGGAACUGAGACACGGUCCAGACUCCUACGGGAGGCAGCAGUAGGGAAUCUUCCGCAAUGGGCGAAAGCCUGACGGAGCAACGCCGCGUGAGUGAUGAAGGUCUUCGGAUCGUAAAACUCUGUUAUUAGGGAAGAACAUAUGUGUAAGUAACUGUGCACAUCUUGACGUUACCUAAUCAGAAAGCCACGGCUAACUACGUG